rnacentral:rRNA from 1 species
UCCGUAGGCGGUGUGACAAGUCGGUAGUGAAAUCUCCGGGCUUAACCCGGAGGCUGCUGCCGAAACUGUUGUGCUAGAGUGUGAGAGAGGCGAGUGGAAUUACGGGUGUAGCGGUGAAAUGCGUAGAUAUCCGUAGGAACAUCCGAGGCGAAAGCGGCUCGCUGGAUCACAACUGACGCUGAGGGACGAAAGCUAGGGGAGCAAACAGGAUUAGAUACCCUGGUAGUCCUAGCCCUAAACCAUCAGGACUUGGGGUUUGCCCUGUACGGGGCAAGUCCCGGAGCUAACGCGUUAAGUCCUGCGCCUGGGGAGUACGGUCGCAAGGCUGAA